UCCUACGGGAGGCAGCAGUGGGGAAUAUUGCACAAUGGGCGAAAGCCUGAUGCAGCGACGCCGCGUGAGGGAUGACGGCCUUCGGGUUGUAAACCUCUUUCAGUAGGGACGAAGCGCAAGUGACGGUACCUACAGAAGAAGCACCGGCCAACUACGUGCCAGCAGCCGCGGUAAUACGUAGGGUGCGAGCGUUGUCCGGAUUUACUGGGCGUAAAGAGCUCGUAGGCGGUUUGUCACGUCGUCUGUGAAAACCCGAGGCUUAACCUCGGGCCUGCAGGCGAUACGGGCAGACUUGAGUACUGUAGGGGAGACUGGAAUUCCUGGUGUAGCGGUGGAAUGCGCAGAUAUCAGGAGGAACACCGGUGGCGAAGGCGGGUCUCUGGGCAGUAACUGACGCUGAGGAGCGAAAGCGUGGGUAGCGAACAGGAUUAGAUACCCUGGUAGUCCACGCCGUAAACGGUGGGUACUAGGUGUGGGUUUCCUUCCACGGGAUCCGUGCCGUAGCUAACGCAUUAAGUACCCCGCCUGGGGAGUACGGCCGCAAGGCUAAAACUCAAAGGAAUUGACGGGGCCCCGCACAAGCGGCGGAGCAUGCGGAUUAAUUCGAUGCAACGCGUAGAACCUUACCUGGGUUUGACAU
rnacentral:rRNA from 1 species